rnacentral:rRNA from 1 species
CCUACGUGAUGCAGCAGUGGGGAAUAUUGCACAAUGGGGGAAACCCUGAUGCAGCGACGCCGCGUGAAGGAAGAAGGAUUUCGGUAUGUAAACUUCUAUCAGCAGGGAAGAAAAGUACGGUAACUGACUAAGACUCCCCGGCUACCUACGUGCCAGAAGCCGCGGUACUACGUAGGGGGCAAGCUUUAUCCGGAUUUACUGGGUGUAAAGGGAUCGUAGGCGGUUUAGAAAUUCAGAAGUGAAAGCCUGGGGAUCAACUCCGUGACUGCUGUUGAAACUGUUGAACUAGAUUGCAGGAGAGGUAAGUGGAAUUCCUAGUGUAGCGGUGAAAUGCGUAGAUAUUACGAGGAACACCAGUGGCGAAGGCGGCUUACUGGACUGUAAAUGACGCUGAGGCUCGAAAGCGUGGGGAGCAAACAGGAUUAGAUACCCGGGUAGUC